rnacentral:sRNA from 10 species
UUGCGUUAAGGAUGGAAGUGGAAAUCCUUUUUAUUUUUUCUUUAAAAAUAAAAAGAUUGUGAACGGACAGCCUGCCCAUGC